UUUGUGUUUUUUGUUUUUGCUUCUGUUUAGGAAUAAAUAAUCCAUCUACCUUCUGUUUGGAUGUGGUUUUAUGUUUUAAUUAGUGUUUGUGCCAAGUAGGACCUAUAGGAUAACCUACGAUGAUAGUUGAUUUGAUUCUGCUGAAAAAUAGAAACUUUGCGCGCACGAAUUUAGUUAUGAUAAAUCACAGGAACGUGAUUUUGCGUUGAUUCUUUAUGAUGAUGAUCAAUAAACAAAUUGUCCAGGACUUCCUAUUUUUGUAGAAUUUUUAGAGUUCCAUAAGUUUGCGUUAGUUACAGAUUGCUACAGACUGUUCUGUUUUUGACAGAUUCUGUUUUUCGUGUGUUGUUUGCUUAUUUUGAUGAAUCUAUGGCUAGUAAAUUAGUUUAUAAACCAUAGAGAAGUUGGAAUACAGUAGGUUUAACACCAAUAUAAAUAAAGAAUGAGUUCAUUACAGUACCUUGAAGUAGUCUUUUGUUUUCUUUCUCUAACGGAGCUCACGAGAUUUCUGUUGAGUUUUGAUAUGAAGGAAGGGAAUAUUAGAUUCCAAUUUCCCUUAAAGAAGGGUAUGGAACACUUCCUUAGAAAGAAAAUAAAAUUACCAUAUGAAUCUAUCAUGAGAGCCACUUAUGGAUUGCUUACCAAAGAUGGCAAUACCUAGAUCUAUCCUUGCUUUUAUGCGUAGCUAGGGGCGUUAAACGAUAGCGCUUAUUGGAAGGCAACCCAAUUUUAUUUUGUGUUUUUUGUUUUUGCUUCUGUUUAGGAAUAAAUAAUCCAUCUACCUUCUGUUUGGAUGUGGUUUUAUGUUUUAAUUAGUGUUUGUGCCAAGUAGGACCUAUAGGAUAACCUACGAUGAUAGUUGAUUUGAUUCUGCUGAAAAAUAGAAACUUUGCACGCACGAAUUUAGUUAUGAUAAAUCACAGGAACGUGAUUUUGCGUUGAUUCUUUAUGCUGAUGAUCAAUAAACAAAUUGUCCAGGACUUCCUAUUUUUGUAGAACUUUUAGAGUUCCAUAAGUUUGCGUUAGUUACAGAUUGCUACAGACUGUUCUGUUUUUGACAGAUUCUGUUUUUCGUGUGUUGUUUGCUUAUUUUGAUGAAUCUAUGGCUAGUAAAUUAGUUUAUAAACCAUAGAGAAGUUGGAAUACAGUAGGUUUAACACCAAUAUAAAUAAAGAAUUAGUUCAUUACAGUACCUUGAAGUAGUCUUUUGUUUUCUUUCUCUAACGGAGCUCACGAGAUUUCUGUUGAGUUUUGUGUUGUGAAGUUUUCAAGUUUUGGGUAAAUUCUUUUGAUGGAUUAUGGAACAAGGAGUGG
rnacentral:lncRNA from 1 species